rnacentral:rRNA from 1 species
UACGUAGGGUGCAAGCGUUAAUCGGAAUUACUGGGCGUAAAGCGUGCGCAGGCGGUUGUGCAAGACCGAUGUGAAAGCCCCGGGCUUAACCUGGGAACGGCAUUGGUGACUGCACGGCUAGGAGUGUGUCAGAGGGGGGUAGAAUUCCACGUGUAGCAGUGAAAUGCGUAGAGAUGGUGGAGGAAUACCGAUGGCGAAGGCAGCCCCCUGGGAUGACACUGACGCUCG